rnacentral:rRNA from 1 species
CGAAACCCCAUGAUUAUAUUUUCUCUAGUUUUGAACAUAAUUGUUGAGAGGACCUCUUAAUAAAAUAGAAUUUAAGAAUAAAGAUUAUAGAUCGGAUGGGGUUAUAUCUGAUUGAAAAGGAUAUUAUAUCUAAUUAUAUUUAAGGGUUAAUUUCUUAAAUAUUUUUAAAGAAUUAAUUAUUGUUUGAAAUAUUGUUUAAGGUGAGAAGUUCCUUUUAAUUUAACAGUGUUAUAACUUUAUUAAAAUAUUAAUUAUUUCUUAAAAUAAAAAACUUUUCUUAUAUGAAUUAUAAUGCCAUAAUGAUGGAAUUAGUAUAAUAAAUAAGUCAUAUUAACUCGGUAUUUUUACAACUGUUUAUCAAAAACAUUUCCUUUAGAAUAUAUUUAAGGUAUUGCCUGCUCAAUGUAUAAAUAAAUAGCUGCGGUAUCUUAACUGCACUAAGGUAGCAUAAUUAAUUGUCUUUUAAAUGGUGACUUGUUUGAAUGGUUUUAUGAGAAAAAAACUUUCUUUGACUUAAAUAGAACUUAUAUUUUAAGGUUAAAAUACCUAAUUUAUAAAGAAAGACGAGAAGACCCUGUUGAGUUUUACGAAUAUAUUAAAAUCGUUAAAAUGGGAAAUUUAAUUUUUUAAUAAAAUUUAAUAGAUCCUAAAUCUAUAAAGAUUUGGAAAAAGGAUAAAAUUACCACAGGGAUAACAGGACUAUAUCUUCUGAGAGUUCUUAUUGAAGAAGGUGUUUGUUACCUCGAUGUUGAAUCGAAAUAACUUUUUAGUGCAGCAGCUAAAUAAGUGGGUCUGUUCGACCUUUAAAAUUUCACG